AUUUAACGCAAACCAAAUACCUUCAAAGCGACCCAAGACCUAACGGGAGACAAGAAACAGUAUGAUCACCUAACAGUGAACAGAUGAGUCACAGCAAAUUAGUCUGAACAGUGGUAAAUGGCAGUGUGCACAGCUUUAGACCAUGGCAAUCACGACCCUCCAUGAAGGUGGCCUAAGUUAAAACAUUCUGCAGUGGUCUAGGACUGGAACAUGGCUCAGCCAAGGUGCAAGGCGGCAUCCAGGAGUCUUCAUAUGACCAUGGUUGAACUAAAUGAAAAAGUUACUACCCCCAGCUCUGCCACAGCCUCCCGGCUGGAGUCCACCACUCUCUCAUACCUACUGAUGAAGUAGUACUUAAGAACCCAAGAAAUGCCCUGUGUGACCAGUAUUUUGUCUCUGAGAGCGGCAGGAGGAAAUCCCACUUUGGCAGAGGAAAAUGUGCUUGCUUUCUUCCGUCAUCCUUACAAAGUCUGCCUCUCUGCUUCCGCUGUCACGUGUGGCUGAAGAGGGGGAAAAAAAAAGUAAUCCAUUCUUGAGCACAGAUACUGUGCAUACACUGAAGACUUCCUGGCAAAAGUCCAGUCUGCUGGCCUACCAUGGACGCACCUCCAACCCACAUCCUCACUGGUUUUGCUCAGGAGAGAGCCAAGACUGUAUGUCUCGUGAGCAUGUGAAAUGUAAAGGGGAAGAAAACAGAGACUCCUGCCCUCCUUCGCAGUGCGGUUCCCAACCUUUUGCAGAUCCUUUAUGCUAUACCACAAGAAGUGAAGACCCUUUUACAAAGGGCAGAAACAUGGAAUUUCC
rnacentral:lncRNA from 1 species